GGGACUGUGACAGCAUCACGGCAGGACGGGUGCUCUGUAAUCGUUACGCACCAGGUGUCUUGGGAGCAGAGGAGGUGGCUCCCCACAAGGUCACGUUGUGCUGAUGUGAUGGGUGAGAACGGUGAACGCCAGGCUCGUCAAGCUUUCCAAUUUGAGUCUUCAGCUAUCCAGAAGCUGUGAAGGGGCAGCCCCGUCACCAGACACAAUCCUUGCAAAGGGACAGCCUCCAUCAGCCUCCAUGGAAGACUGACAGACCCACACAGGGGAGAAUAAAUCAACCUGCAAAUGAAGCAUUCAGCCAGCUUGGGAGUUCUGCUUUCCAUUUUAAAUUAAUACACCGGCCUUCUGGUUUGUACAUCGGUUGUCCUCCCGUGGGUCUGGCUGGUAGGCAUUGGUUUCUGAGGGGCU
ensembl:lncRNA LINC01983 long intergenic non-protein coding RNA 1983